UACGGAGGGGGCUAGCGUUGUUCGGAAUUACUGGGCGUAAAGCGCGCGUAGGCGGACCUGCAAGUCGGGGGUGAAAGCCCGAGGCUCAACCUCGGAACUGCCUUCGAUACUGCGGGUCUCGAGUCCGGGAGAGGUGAGUGGAAUUCCUAGUGUAGAGGUGAAAUUCGUAGAUAUUAGGAAGAACACCAGUGGCGAAGGCGGCUCACUGGCUCGGUACUGACGCUGAGGCGCGAAAGUCAGGGGAGCGAACGGG
rnacentral:rRNA from 1 species